CUGUGGUACUUUAACUGAACAAAAUUUACCUCUUCGGCAGAAAUUCACGAGGAUAACUAAUCGGACAAACAACUGGCAUUUGUCCAAAGGUUCACCGCCAUGUGCGUCCAGUUACAAGAAAGUCCGAGGAAAUUGUUUUCUCAUGAGAGACGGAAGAUUUAAUUAAAUUAGCCGCAUUAGUAAUCAAAAUGUUUACAGCAUAACGUUCAUGUCUGCACGGGACUAAAUAUAAAGUGACCCGUUUAUGUGUGACAGAAGUAGGUAACAUUUCAGGAAUUUAACUUGGUUGUGUUGAUUUAAGAUCACAGGGACGUGUUUUAUGCAUAAGUUAUGGAAAAUGUUAAUCUCUACAACUACACAGAAUACGAAACAUAUUCAAGGGAAUUUAGUCGGUUCGUAACAUUCCUGUUAAUUAUUAGUAGAGCAAAUAACCGAGUCUACAAAUUCCUUUCAACUUAAAGGAAAACGAAGUAGCUAUUACACAGUAUUUUUAGAUUUAAACAUGUACACUUUAAAGAUAGUUCGUUUGACAAAGUUGAAAGUAGACUUAGACUGUAGUGGUUGAAAAAAAAAAGAAAAAAAUGUCUAUAUAUUUUAACAACAACAAAUAAAAUCUUUUUGUUUUGUUACAAUUCGAAUAUAGCGAAAAGAAACAUUUUUAGUCGUUGGCUACUAAAUGAUCGUGUUGUUUACUGUAUUUUUGAUUCACAAAUAGAAAUGUAAAUGCAACGAGAGCAUAACUUCAACAACUUAAAAAAUACCAA